GUCGAGAAUCUUUCACAAUGGGGGCAACCCUGAUGGAGCGACGCCGCGUGGAGGAUAAGGUCUUCGGAUUGUAAACUCCUGUCAUGCGUGAACAAGGUUGCUUGGUUAAUACCUGGGCAAAUUGAUGGUAACGCAAGAGGAAGAGACGGCUAACUCUGUGCCAGCAGCCGCGGUAAUACAGAGGUCUCAAGCGUUGUUCGGAAUCACUGGGCGUACAGGGUGCGUAGGUGGCGUGGUAAGUCAGAUGUGAAAGCCCGGGGAUCAACCUCGGAACUGCAUCCGAUACUGCCAUGCUAGAGUACUGGAGAGGUGACUAGAAUUCUCGGUGUAGCAGUGAAAUGCGUAGAUAUCGAGAGGAAUACCAAAGGCGUAGGCAGGUCACUGGACAGUUACUGACACUGAGGCACGAAGGCCAGGGGAGCGAACGGGAUUAGAAACCCUGGUAGUCC
rnacentral:rRNA from 1 species